UACGUAGGGCGCAAGCGUUAUCCGGAAUUAUUGGGCGUAAAGAGCUCGUAGGCGGUUUGUCGCGUCUGCCGUGAAAGUCCGGGCUCAACUCCGGAUCUGCGGUGGGUACGGGCAGACUAGAGUGAUGUAGGGGGAGACUGGAAUUCCUGGUGUAGCGGUGAAAUGCGCAGAUAUCAGGAGGAACACCGAUGGCGAAGGCAGGUCUCUGGGCAUUAACUGACGCUGAGACGCGAAAGCGUGGGGAGCAAACAGGAUA
rnacentral:rRNA from 1 species